rnacentral:rRNA from 1 species
UUUGGAGAGUUUGAUCCUGGCUCAGGACGAACGCUGGCGGCAUGCCUAAUACAUGCAAGUCGAGCGGAGUUGUUUUGAAAGUUUACUUUCAAAACAACUUAGCGGC